rnacentral:rRNA from 1 species
AUUGAACGCUGGCGGCAGGCUUAACACAUGCAAGUCGAGCGGUAGCACAGGGGAGCUUGCUCCCUGGGUGACGAGCGGCGGACGGGUGAGUAAUGUCUGGGAAACUGCCUGAUGGAGGGGGAUAACUACUGGAAACGGUAGCUAAUACCGCAUAACGUCGCAAGACCAAAGAGGGGGACCUUCGGGCCUCUUGCCAUCAGAUGUGCCCAGAUGGUAUUAGCUAGUAGGCGGGGUAAUGGCUCACCUAGGCGACGAUCCCUAGCUGGUCUGAGAGGAUGACCGGCCACAUGAGAACUGGGACACGGACCAUACUCCUACGGGAGGGAGCAGUGGGGAAUAUGGCACAAUGGGCGGAAGCCUGAUGCAGCCAUGCCGCGUGUGUGAAGAAGGCCUUCGGGUUGUAAAGCACUUUCAGCGAGGAGGAAGGUGGUGAGCUUAAUACGUUCAUCAAUUGACGUUACUCGCAGAAGAAGCACCGGCUAACUCCGUG